rnacentral:rRNA from 1 species
UACGUAGGGGGCUAGCGUUGUCCGGAAUCAUUGGGCGUAAAGAGCUCGUAGGCGGUCUGUUGCGUCCGCUGUGAAAACUCGGGGCUUAACCCCGAGCCUGCAGUGGAUACGGGCAGACUAGAGGUAGGUAGGGGAGAAUGGAAUUCCCGGUGUAGCGGUGAAAUGCGCAGAUAUCGGGAGGAACACCGGUGGCGAAGGCGGUUCUCCGGGCCUUACCUGACGCUGAGGAGCGAAAGCGUGGGGAGCGAACAGG